CAAUAGCGUAUAUUAAAGUUGUUGCAGUUAAAAAGCUCGUAGUUGGAUUUGUGGCGUACGGUGGGUUCCGGGCACUUGUUGUCUGAGUAACUUGCUGUUGCCAUCCUUGGGUGGAACCUGUGUGGCAUUAGGUUGUCGUGCAGGGGAUGCCCAUCAUUUACUGUGAAAAAUUAGAGUGUUCAAAGCAGGCUUAUGCCGUUGAAUAUAUUAGCAUGGAAUAAUGAGAUAGGACUUUUUUGCUAUUUUGUUGGUUUGCGCAAAGAGGUAAUGAUUAAUAGGGACAGUUGGGGGUAUUCGUAUUCCAUUGUCAGAGGUGAAAUUCUUGGAUUUUUGGAAGACGAACUACUGCGAAAGCAUUUACCAAGGAUGUUUUCAUUAA
rnacentral:rRNA from 1 species